rnacentral:tRNA from 1 species
GACUGCGUGGCCUAUUGGAUAAGGCGUCUGACUUCAACUCAGAACAUUGAGAGAUCGAGUCCUUUUGUUAUUG